GAUGAACGCUGGCGGCGUGCUUAACACAUGCAAGUCGAGCGAUGAAGUUUCCUUCGGGAAACGGAUUAGCGGCGGACGGGUGAGUAACACGUGGGUAACCUGCCUCAUAGAGUGGAAUAGCCUUCCGAAAGGAAGAUUAAUACCGCAUAACGUUGAAGGAUGGCAUCAUCAUUCAACCACAGGAGCAAUCCGCUAUGAGAUGAACCCGCGGCGCAUUAGCUAGUUGGUGGGGUAACGGCCUACCAAGGCGACGAUGCGUAGCCGACCUGAGAGGGUGAUCGGCCACAUUGAGACUGAGACACGGCCCAGACUCCUACGGGAGGCAGCAGUGGGGAAUAUUGCACAAUGGGGGAAACCCUGAUGCAGCAGCGCCGCGUGAGUGAUGAAGGUUUUCGAAUCGUAAAGCUCUGUCUUUGGGGAAGAUAAUGACGGUACUCAAGGAGGAAGCCACGGCUAACUACGUGCCAGCCGCCGCCGUAA
rnacentral:rRNA from 1 species